rnacentral:lncRNA from 1 species
GGAUGGACCUUUUGUCCGCAACAAUGAUGCAUUAGGAAAGGAUGAGAUCCACCUUGGUUUUCACAUGGGAGUCCCCCAAAAGAAUCCUUCUUAUAGAAUUUUUUUUUAGCUGCGUUGUUAACUACCCUUGCCGCUUUUUAAUCAUCAGAAUCCAGUGUACCAAGUCAGCCAGUCCCUGGUCUCAUAAAUUAUAGUUAGGAGAAUCUUCAAGUGAUGACAGCC